AAUGGAACCUGCAGGAAUCAACCGUGUAGGCAGAUGGAAAUCUGUCGUCUGUCUACAGAUCGCAGUGUCCUACAGAAACACGGAGGUCUCUGUCUGACUUAGACUAGCUGCUAAGUCGGAUCGUUCCCCUCCACACAAG